rnacentral:rRNA from 1 species
GAUGAACGCUGGCGGCGUGCCUAAUACAUGCAAGUCGAGCGAACAGACGAGGAGCUUGCUCCUCUGACGUUAGCGGCGGACGGGUGAGUAACACGUGGAUAACCUACCUAUAAGACUGAGAUAACUUCGGGAAACCGGAGCUAAUACCGGAUAAUAUAUUGCACCGCAUGGUUCACUAGUGAAAGACGGUUUUGCUGCCACUUAUAGAUGGAUCCGCGCCGCAUUAGCUAGUUGGUACUGUAACGGCUUACCAAGGCAACGAUGCGUAGCCGACCUGAGAGGGCGAUCGGCCACACUGGAACUGAGACACGGUCCAGACUCAUACGGGAGGCAGCAGUAGGGAAUCUUCCGCAAUGGGCGAAAGCCUGACGGAGCAAAGCCGCGUGAGUGAUGAAGGUCUUCGGAUCGUAAAGCUCUGUUAUUAGGGAAGAACAAAUGUGUAAGUAACGAUGCACGUCGUGACGGUACCUAAUCAGAAAGCCACGGCUAACUACGUG